UUCCCGUGUUCCUUUUGCCUGCACGGCGUGACACACGACAAGUUUAGCAAGCUCAUCAUUUAGUUUCUUUUUAAAAAGUUAUUUCAGAGUCAUUAAGUUUUGCCGUGUCAUAUUUUCUGUCGACAAUCGUCGCGCGACCCCAAAAGGCGAGCACCUGGAUUGAGGACACUGAUCUGACGGCCAGCGACUUCUUCCGACAAGGAGCAAAUUCCAGGCUGGUUUGGACACGUUUUGUAUGCACCUCGUGUAAAUUUUUGUUGCCGGGCCGACUUAAAAGGAAUUUGUAGUGUACAGUAUUUCCAGCCCUGAGAAAAAAAUAUUCUCAUCAUCA